rnacentral:rRNA from 1 species
AACGAACGCUGGCGGCAUGCCUAACACAUGCAAGUCGAACGAGACCUCCGGGUCUAGUGGCGCUCGGGUGCGUAACGCGUGGGAACCUGCCCUUAGGCUCGGAAUAACUCCCCGAAAGGGGUGCUAAUACCGGGUAAUGUCCUCGGACCAAAGAUUUAUCGCCUUUGGAUGGGCCCGCGUUGGAUUAGCUUGUUGGUAGGGUAAGAGCCUAUCAAGGCGACGAUCCAUAGCUGGUCUGAGAGGAAGAUCAGCCACACUGGGACUGAGACACGGCCCAGACUCCUACGGGAAGGAGGAGAGGGGAAUAUUGGAAAAGGGGCGAAAGCCUGAUCCAGCAAUGCCGGGUGAGUGAUGAUGUCCUUAGGGUUGUAAAGCUCUUUUACCCGGGAUGAUAAUGACGGUACCGGGAGAAUAAGCUCCGGCUAACUCCGUG